CGCGGUAGAAGAGGUUCUUGCCCUGCUUGUGCAGGCCGAUCGCGUUGUAGAUCUCCGAGCGCGGCUUGUGCGGCAUCAGGCUGCGCAGGAACUGCACGUAGGCCGCCGGGAUCUCCAUGUCGACCAUGAAGUAGGCGCGCGCGAAGCUGAACAGCAUCUGCAGGUCGUCUUCGCCGAACAGCGCC
rnacentral:misc_RNA from 1 species